AUUGCUGUGAAAAUACAGCGGUAUUUGGUGAAAGCGCUAUAACGUCCUGCCCACGUGCUCUUCGUUGCUCCUUCCUCAGUACUCUCUGGAUUUCUCAGCGUUGAUUCCAAACGGAAUAUGAAGGUCCCGUGAGGGCAAAUUACAGAAAGACAGGAAAGAUCAAUGUCCGAUACAAAAACUGGCCACGUUAAGUGGUUCAACGAGUCCAAAGGCUUUGGCUUCAUCGCUCAGGAUGGCGGCAGUGACGUGUUUGUUCACUACAGUGCAAUCAACGCAAGCGGUUUCCGCACCCUGACCGAAGGCCAGCAAGUGCAGUUUACCGUUACUCAGGGCCCGAAAGGUCCCCAGGCGGAAAACGUAACCCCGGUCUGAGGUUACUGCUUCCGCCCUCUGCCCCUCACGGGCAAAGGGAAAUCAUUAAGCCGGCAUCCUGUGCCGGCUUAAUACG
rnacentral:sRNA from 1 species